rnacentral:rRNA from 1 species
AAUACAUGCAAGUCGAACGCUUCUUUUUCACCGAACUUCGGUUCAUCGAAAAAGAGGAGUGGCGAACGGGUGAGUAACACGUGGGUAACCUGCCCAUCAGAAGGGGAUAACACUUGGAAACAGGUGCUAAUACCGUAUAAUGCUUUUUCUCGCAUGAGAGCAAGCUGAAAGGCGCUUUUGCGUCACUGAUGGAUGGACCCGCGGUGCAUUAGCUAGUUGGUGAGGUAACGGCUCACCAAGGCCACGAUGCAUAGCCGACCUGAGAGGGUGAUCGGCCACACUGGGACUGAGACACGGCCCAGACUCCUACGGGAGGCAGCAGUAGGGAAUCUUCGGCAAUGGACGAAAGUCUGACCGAGCAAACGCCCGCGUGAGUGAAAGAAAGGUUUUCGGAUUCGUAAAAACUCU